rnacentral:misc_RNA from 1 species
GAUGAAGAACGCAGCGAAAUGCGAUAAGUAAUGUGAAUUGCAGAAUUCAGUGAAUCAUCGAAUCUUUGAACGCACAUUGCGCCCGGUAGUAUUCUGCCGGGCAUGCCUGUUCGAGCGUCAUUUCAACCAUCAAGCCCCAGCGCUUGUGUUGGGGGCCUGCGGCUGCCGCAGCCCCCUAAAAGCAGUGGCGGGCUCGCUAUCACACCGAGUGCAGUAGUUCAUCUUCUCUCGGGUCUUGUGAGGCGGGUUCCGGCCGUGAAACACCCCACUACAUUCAAGGUUGACCUCGGAUCAGGUAGGAAUACCCGCUGAACUUAAGCAUAUCAAUAAGCGGAGGA